GCGCGCGCUCUCUCGACGGACACCCCCACCACCGCCAGCACAGGAGGGGGCUGGAGGGCUGGAAGCGUCCCGGGCCCGGGGCCGGUUUUGUGGCCUCACCUCGGGGCGGGUACCCAGGUAGCUGGAAAGUCAAGAAGUCUGUCCCUCCCGCUUCCAGUGGACGACCCUCACACCCUGUCAGAAAAGUUGUCUCGGUUGCCUGGCCUCAGGUGUCUCCCCAGGUUUGCCUUCGUUACCUGGCGCCCCAGCCUUGACCGGAAAGAGCGCGGAAGGGAGAGAAGGCCUCAGCUCCUCUCCCAUCCCAGCCAUCACCACGUCCCUCAGCCAAACCGACUGCCCUCCUCUACUCACAGCGGAAGUCGUGAUAGAACUUGAGUGGGGGCAUGUUCCUCUCUACUGCCACAUUACCCCAUGGAAGCCCCAAGUGCAAGAUCUGACGCCGCCGGGAGCAAGGCUGACCACUCUGCUCGGUGCCCACAAGUCGACCCAUCAGCCGCCAGUCACGUAUCUCGAACAGAUGAGUUUCACGACAGACUCAGAAGACUGGGAAAUGCUCUUCAGCCUAGAGAAAAACCAACCUGACUCCACCUCCCCCCACAGAAGCAUUACCUCCAGAGAGCGGAUGCUGCUGUGAUAGGUAAUGGAGACCAUG